rnacentral:rRNA from 1 species
CCUACGGGAGGCAGCAGUGGGGGAUAUUGCACAAUGGGGGGAACCCUGAUGCAGCGACGCCGCGUGGGUGAAGAAGCGCCUCGGCGCGUAAAGCCCUGUCAGCAGGGAAGAAAAUGACGGUACCUGAAGAAGAAGCCCCGGCUAACUACGUGCCAGCAGCCGCGGUAAUACGUAGGGGGCAAGCGUUAUCCGGAUUUACUGGGUGUAACGGGGGCGCAGACGGCGAUGCAAGCCAGGAGUGAAAGCCCGGGGCCCAACCCCGGGACUGCUCUUGGAACUGCGUGGCUGGAGUGCAGGAGGGGCAGGCGGAAUUCCUGGUGUAGCGGUGAAAUGCGUAGAUAGCAGGAGGAACACCGGUGGCGAAGGCGGCCUGCUGGACUGCAACUGACGUUGAGGCCCGAAAGCGUGGGGAGCAAACAGGAUUAGAUACCCUGGUAGUC